CGUGAGCUGACCCAGUCAUGUAUGGUGACAUCUGCUCUUCAGAGUGGAAGCUUGCCAUCCAUACCCGAGACCUCUGGGAACCAUACAGACAUCCCCAGGAGAUGAGGAAAUAAGUUUUCCUGGGGGUGAGAUGCACAUAACAACAACUUGUGUCCUGAUGACAAGGCUGUGCCCAGAGGCUCACAGGAACCUAACCCAGUAUUUCCCCCGAAGAACAGAGUGGACAUGUGCUCUGCAUCAGCUCUCGGGGCAGCGUGGGCAGCACGUGAGCAGAUCCACCAAGGACGCCAAGCCUGAAGCCUGCAAACAAACUCCUCACAGUGGACACCGACCCAAGAAGGGGCUUCGCGGUGAGCUCCUGGACAUUUCCAAGCACUCCAGGAGGCUGGCCAUGGGCCAAUCCUCUGGAUGAGCCAGGAAGGGGAGCUGCUCUCCUGCAGACACUCCGCGUCCAGGCAAAGACGUGGAGCCACCUUUACCCAGGUUGAGAAGUUGGCACAUCACAGGCCCAACUCACUCAACGUUCGUCUGCGGGCAGUGACGGGGAGAUGGGACAGGGCCUCGUGCAGACACUGACCAGCGAGGGGACCCCUCCAAGCCACACGGCUCUUCAGGGGCCCUUCCCUCGUCCCUGGAAGCAGAGAGCAGCAUGUCUAACCUGGGAUGGCCCCGCUCAGUUGUCCAGCUCCUACAGCACCGAGCAAACAGCGACCCCGGUAGGAACAGCAUUGCCGCAGGGAUGGCGCCGCUGCUGAGCGCCUGCUGCCCGCCAAGGAGCUGACGUAAACGGCCACGCACCGCCGUCACGGUGACCGAGGGGCUGGGGUCACGGUCCCUGCUUUGUCAGCUAGGUG